rnacentral:pre_miRNA from 1 species
UAAUCUCAGCUGGUAAAUCUGAGUGGUGCCUGCUCUCAACCUUACCAGCAGAGGUUUGA